rnacentral:lncRNA from 1 species
AUACGUCAAUGAGACACCAACCCUACUACAGAAAUAACCGCAGAUCAUCUAGAGGGAGACGUGUAAAAUCUUCAACUGGAGACAGGUGUCCUAACAUUAUGUUUCAUAAGUGCUAUCAUAUUUGUAUUAUUUAAAUAGCCAGCAGUGUGCGUGGAGAAUAAAUUGUGAAAUAAAAAGAGAAUCAGGCACAGUUGUAGCCCAAUGAUAGAAAAAAAUUAACAUCUUGAUGCAUCAUACAUUCUUUCAGACAGAUGACCACACAUACAAAACAUGUCUCGCUCUCAAUUGUCUCGAUUUCAUGAAAGAUAUAUAUUAAUUUAACAG